rnacentral:tRNA from 1 species
CGUGAGGUAGAGCAGUUGGUAGCUCGCCGGGCUCAUAACCCGGAGGCCGAGGGUUCGAGUCCCUCCCUCGCAA